AGAGUUUGAUCAUGGCUCAGGACGAACGCUGGCGGCGUGCUUAACACAUGCAAGUCGAACGAUGAAGCCCAGCUUGCUGGGUGGAAGAGUGGCGAACGGGUGAGUAACACGUGAGUAACCUGCCCCGGACUCUGGGAUAAGCGCUGGAAACGGCGUCUAAUACUGGAUAUGACCCAUACCGGCAUCGGUUGUGGGUGGAAAGAUUUAUCGGUUCGGGAUGGGCUCGCGGCCUAUCAGCUGGAUGGUGAGGUAACGGCUCACCAAGCCGACGACGGGUAGCCGGCCUGAGAGGGUGACCGGCCACACUGGGACUGAGACACGGCCCAGACUCCUACGGGAGGCAGCAGUGGGGAAUAUUGCACAAUGGGCGAAAGCCUGAUGCAGCAACGCCGCGUGAGGGAUGACGGCCUUCGGGUUGUAAACUGCUUUUGUACGGAACGAAAAGGCUCUGGCUAAUACCUGGGGCACAUGACGGUACCGUAAGAAUAAGCACCGGCUAACUACGUGCCAGCAGCCGCGGUAAUA
rnacentral:rRNA from 1 species